AAGGCUUUAAGUUAAUCAAACUAAUAGCCUUCAAAGCUAUCAAUAAAGUCCAAUAUUCUUUAAGCUUUA
rnacentral:tRNA from 1 species